UUGUGUUAAUCAUCUAGUUUGUUAUCUGAGUUCUCUAUCACUUCGUGCCUCUCUUUGAAUCUGGAAGCCAAUCAUCCAGGAUGGGGAAGCUGGUUUUGGUACUGUUGGUGAUAUGCCUGUUAGCAGUGGUAGUCAAUGCCAGCAUAUUCGACAUAAAAGGCAUUGAGACGGGGAAAGAAUACUUCACCGAACUGAAGAAUAAAGUACUACAAGUCUUCGAUAAAAGCGUCAAAGACAUAGACAUUAAAAAGGAGCAACAAGAUGCGAAGACCGUUCCUUCCAGUUGAGGAAAUGUUCCCUUUGUGACUAAGUACAACGAUUCCUUGUUAUAAGAAGCUACUGCCAUAAAUAAACUACUAAAGAAAA